rnacentral:rRNA from 1 species
UCAAGUUAUUAAGGGUGCAGGGCGGAUGCCUUGGCACUAGGAGCCGAUGAAGGACGUGAUAAGCUGCGAUAAGCUUCGGGGAGUUGCACGUAAACUUUGAUCCGAAGAUUUCCGAAUGAGGAAACUCACUUAGAGUAAUGUCUAAGUAUCAUUAAGUGAAUACAUAGCUUAAUGAGGGGAACUCAGGGAACUGAAACAUCUAAGUACCUGAAGGAAGAGAAAGAAAUUCGAUUCCGUAAGUAGCGGCGAGCGAACGCGGAUUAGCCCAAACCAAUAAAGUUUUCUUUAUUGGGGUUGCGGACAUAUCAUAACGAAGAGGUAUCGUAAUUGAAGAGGUUUGGAAAGACCCACCACAGAAGGUAAUAGUCCUGUAUGUUAAACGAGAAGACUUCAGAUAUGAUCCAGAGUACCACGGGACACGUGAAACCCUGUGGGAAGCAGGAGGGACCACCCUCCAAGGCUAAAUACUACCUAGUGACCGAUAGCGUAUAGUACCGUGAGGGAAAGGUGAAAAGAACCCCGGGAGGGGAGUGAAAUAGAACCUGAAACCCUGCACUUACAAGCUGUGGAAGCACAUUUCUUGUGUGACCGCGUACUUUUUGUAGAACGGGCCAACGAGUUACGUUAAGUAGCAAGGUUAAGCACUUAAGGUGUGGAGCCGUAGCGAAAGCGAGUUUUAACUGAGCGUUCAGUUACUUGACGUAGACCCGAAACCGGGCGACCUACCCAUGAGCAGGAUGAAGCGAAAGUAAAAUUUCGUGGAGGUCCGAACCCACGAGCGUUGAAAAGCUCGGGGAUGACUUGUGGGUAGCGGUGAAAUUCCAAUCGAGCCCGGAGAUAGCUGGUUCUCCCCGAAAUAGCUUUAGGGCUAGCCUCAAGGUGAGAGAUACGGAGGUAGAGCACUGAAUGUCCUAGGGGGUAUUGCACCUACCGAAGACUAUCAAACUCCGAAUGCCGUCAUCUUAUACUUGGGAGUCAGACUGUGGGUGAUAAGAUUCAUAGUCGAAAGGGCAACAGCCCAGAUCGUCAGCUAAGGUCCCUCAAUGUAAGUUAAGUGGUAAAGGAUGUGGGAUUGCACAGACAACCAGGAUGUUGGCUUAGAAGCAGCCACUCAUUCAAAGAGUGCGUAAUAGCUCACUGGUCGAGUGAUCCUGCGCCGAAGAUUUCCGGGGCUAAAACUUACUACCGAAGCUACGGCAUCAGUAAUGAUGGGUAGGGGAGCUUCCCAUACGGGUUGAAGCAUGACCGUAAGGACAUGUGGACAGUAUGGGAGUGAGAAUGUUGGCAUGAGUAGCGAGAUGUGGGUGAGAAUCCCACAGGCCGUAAACCCAAGGUUUCCAGGGGAAGGUUCGUCCGCCCUGGGUUAGUCGGGACCUAAGCUGAGGCCGAAAGGCGUAGGUGAUGGACAACAGGUUGAUAUUCCUGUACUACCGAUAACCGUUUGAGAGAAGGGAUGACACAGUAGGAUAAGCUAAGCACACUGUUGGUUAUGUGUGCCCAAGCAUUGAGGCAGUCAAAGUAGGCAAAUCCGCUUUGAUAAUGCUGGGAUGUGAUGGGGAGCGAAAUUUAGUAGCGAAGUAGCUGAUUUCACACUGUCAAGAAAAGUCUCUAUCGAGGUUAAAGGUACCCGUACCGCAAACCGACACAGGUGGGUGAGGAGAGUAUCCUAAGGCCAGCGAGAGAACUGUUGUUAAGGAACUCGGCAAAAUGACCCCGUAACUUAGGGAUAAGGGGUGCCACCAUCAGGUGGCCGCAGAGAAUAGGCCCAAGCGACUGUUUACCAAAAACAUAGGUUUCUGCUAAGUCGCAAGACGAUGUAUAGGAGCUGACGCCUGCCCGGUGCUGGAAGGUUAAGGGGAUCUGUUAGAGCAAUCGAAGCAGUGAACUUAAGCCCCAGUAAACGGCGGCCGUAACUAUAACGGUCCUAAGGUAGCGAAAUUCCUUGUCGGGUAAGUUCCGACCCGCACGAAAGGCGUAACGAUUUGGGCACUGUCUCAACAACAGACUCGGUGAAAUUGUAAUUCCGGUGAAGAUGCCGGAUACCUGCGACAGGACGGAAAGACCCCAUGGAGCUUUACUGUAGCUUGACAUUGGGUCUUGGUACUACAUGUACAGGAUAGGUGGGAGGCUUUGAAACCAGGACGCCAGUUUUGGCGGAGCCAUCCUUGGGAUACCACCCUUGUAGUACUGGGACUCUAACCAUAGGCCAUGAAUCUGGUCUUGGGACACUGUCAGGUGGGCAGUUUGACUGGGGCGGUCGCCUCCCAAAAGGUAACGGAGGCGCUCAAAGGUUCUCUCAGUACGGUCGGAAAUCGUACGUAGAGUGUAAAGGCAAAAGAGAGCUUGAUUGCAAGACAUACAGGUCGAGCAAGGAUGAAAAUCGGACUUAGUGAUCCGGUGGUUCUGCGUGGAAGGGCCAUCGCUCAACGGAUAAAAGCUACCCUGGGGAUAACAGGCUUAUCUCCCCCAAGAGUCCACAUCGACGGGGAGGUUUGGCACCUCGAUGUCGGCUCAUCACAUCCUGGGGCUGUAGUAGGUCCCAAGGGUUGGGCUGUUCGCCCAUUAAAGUGGUACGCGAGCUGGGUUCAGAACGUCGUGAGACAGUUCGGUCCCUAUCCGUCGCAGGCGUAGGAAAUUUGAGAAGACCUGUCCUUAGUACGAGAGGACCGGGAUGGACGUACCUCUGGUGUACCAGUUGUUCUGCCAAGGGCAUGGCUGGGUAGCUAUGUACGGAAUGGAUAAGCGCUGAAAGCAUCUAAGCGCGAAGCCAACUUCAAGAUAAGAUUUCCCACCGCAAGGGUAAGACCCCAGAAAGACUAUCUGGUUGAUAGGUCGAAGGUGUAAGUGCAGCAAUGUAUUUAGCUUAUCGAUACUAAUAGGUCGAGGACUUGACCAA